GUCCCUGUAGCACAAUGAAUAGUGCGUUGGACGUCUAAUCCAAAGGUCAUGGAUUUGAAUCCCUCCUGGGAUG